GGGGCUGUAGCUCAGUGGUAGAGCACUCACCUAGCAUGUGUGAGGCCCUGGGUUCGAUCCUCAGCACCACA
rnacentral:tRNA from 1 species